rnacentral:lncRNA from 1 species
AGAAAUACAUCAAGAUGCUGUCUUUUAAGACAAUUGAAAGAUUCCAGAUAAGCCCCAAAUUCCCUUUGAACAACCUCUUACCCUGGUGCACUCCCCAAAGCAAUUACUUUUAUGAAGUUGAUGGUGUCCUUCCAGACCUCAAGAACAUUCUUCCAUGUUGAUAUGGGUAGAUAAAGGGGUUUUUUUUGUUGUUGUUGUGCAAUAUUCUAUUGUGUGAUUACAAAACAUCUUAGUUAGCCCUUCCCCAGUUGACGGAAAUGCCCUUAUUUCCAGCGUCCACUUGCAACAUCCCUGGAUGUGCCUCCUUAGGCACCAGGGGUUCUCUGGGGAACCAAAACUGGCCAUGCAUAACCUUGAGGGAAGUGUCCUUGAGACAGCCACCAUGUGUACUUGUGCUAGAGGUAGGCUGUGGUUUAUUUUUCUCAUUUAUCCAAGAAGCUAUUUCAGGAGAGGACGUCUUACAAUAUACCUGACCAGUAAUCAAAG